CGGGAGCCAUUGGAGGAUGGUGGGCAAAGUGCCAUGCCUGACUCAUGAUUUAUCAAAAGCACUCUCGCUAUGUGUAGAGGAUCUCAUGAAGGGGAGAGAGUAGGAGUAUGGUUACCAUUGGACAAGCUAGUACAACAAUCCAGGUUGGAGACAGUCAUGAUUUGAACAGGGGACACGACACUAAAGGAGAACCCAAAACAUCCCUGAGAUUUGGUAUGGUUGGAUACGGCAACAAGAGCAAGAGGUAGAAUACCACUCAGAGUUUCAUGCAAGCAAGGAGCAACUGAGCCAUCAUCAUACAGAGGCACUGCACUGUGAUGAUAUACAGUAUAAAAAAAGACACUACACACUGGAGAAGAUUUCAUAUCCAUGUGCAUAGAGAGGACUCAAAACUGGAAACUAACAAGCAUUUCCAUCUAAGAUUACGAUUAAAUGGGAAAUGAUUAGUACUAUUGUUGCAAUGAAAAUGAGAGAGAAAUGCCUGGGAUGGAUGGCAUUUAAAGUAGGAUUUCUGAUCAAAAGAGUGAUUAACCCUUGCAGAACAAGUGAAAGAAAAAGAGAAUUUACCUCUUUGGAGUGGAGAUUUUCAUCCUCUUUAUUCAAGAUCAUCAGAGCCUAAAAGAGAACCCAGCAUGUUAUUGGCCACACUUGGAGACGAAGAAUGGGCUGGAACAUGUACCCUUUGGCAGAGAUCUUGCCUUCCAGGAAAGGACUACAAUAAGGAGU